rnacentral:rRNA from 1 species
AGUGAACGCUGGCGGUAGGCCUAACACAUGCAAGUCGAACGGCAGCACAGUAAGAGCUUGCUCUUACGGGUGGCGAGUGGCGGACGGGUGAGGAAUACAUCGGAAUCUACUUUUUCGUGGGGGAUAACGUAGGGAAACUUACGCUAAUACCGCAUACGACCUACGGGUGAAAGCAGGGGAUCUUCGGACCUUGCACGAUUGAAUGAGCCGAUGUCGGAUUAGCUAGUUGGCGGGGUAAAGGCCCACCAAGGCGACGAUCCGUAGCUGGUCUGAGAGGAUGAACAGAAAAACUGGACCUGAGACACGGUCCUGAGCCCUACGAGGUGGGGCAGGUGGGAAUUUUGUGCCAUGGGGGCAAGCCUGAUCAGAGCAGACCGCGUGAGUGAGGAGGGCAUUCGGGUUGGAAAACGCUGUUGUUCGGCGAGAAUUACAAUAGCCUCAAGCCCGACUGGUCUGGCGGUACCUUAAGAAUACACUCGGGCUAACUUCGUG